rnacentral:rRNA from 1 species
CGGAAGGAUCAUUGUCGAAGCCUAGAAAGCGCGACCGCGAACGAGUUUCAACACGGGGGAUGCGUCGGGAAGCUCGAGGGCGACCCGUCGUUCCCUCGCUCGGAAGGCCAGCCUUCCGAAACUAACGAACCCCGGCGCGGCAAGCGCCAAGGAAUCACAACGAAAUAACUCGUCCCCCCGGCCCGUUCUCGGAUCGGGGGGCGCGAGUCUGUUCAAACGAAUCACAACGACUCUCGGCAACGGAUAUCUCGGCUCUCGCAUCGAUGAAGAACGUAGCAAAAUGCGAUACUUGGUGUGAAUUGCAGAAUCCCGCGAAUCAUCGAGUCUUUGAACGCAAGUUGCGCCCGAAGCCUUUAGGCCGAGGGCACGUCUGCCUGGGCGUCAUGCACUGCGAUGCCCCCCCCCCAACGCAAGCGCGGGGAGCGAAGCGUGGCCUCCCGUGAGCCCAACCUCGCGGAUGGCUUAAAAGCGAGCCUCGAGACGGCGAGACGUCGCGACAAGUGGUGGUUUACAAGGCCUUCGGCCUUUGGGCAUUUGCGCGUCGCGACCCCGCCCCUCUAUCGCUUCCGAGUACAACCCCCACGGAGCGCAAAGGCGCUGCCAGCAUCNUGACCCCAGGUCAGGNGGNACUACCCGCUGANUUNAA